UGAAGCGCACGUUUCAGUUAUUGUUCUUGAGUUUCAGGAUAACGAAAUACUGAUUGCGCACGUUUAACUCUACCUUUACAACCCAGGACAAAGCUAUAUAUUUUGUGACCUGAGAUAAAUUCUUACCAGUCUUUUGCGAACCUUCAAAUUUACAAGACUGGCCUGGGAAAAAAUUUUUAUUUCGGUAAUCAUUUAAUUACUUCACAAGAAAAAUUUAGAUAAUGAGUUUUUGAUAUUAAAUAUAAAUUUAUUUUAUUAAACCAGACAAAAUAAAUAUUUUUCAUAAGCAUUACUAUUGGAUACAUAAAAUCUUUAAUUAAGUUAAUUUAUAAUUAUCUUAUUAAUAUCAUUUAUAUAUUUAAAUUGUAACAAAAAUAAUUAUCGUAAUUAUAUUUAAUUGAUUUGUAUUAAAUAAUCAAUUUUUUAUGUGAAUUGUGUUAUCGACAAUUAUAUUAACUUAUUAAGUAUAAUUAUUCUUAAUUGAAAAUAAUAAUUAAGUAAAUUACCUCAUCGAACAAGUUUGUGAUAAUAAGAUUUGUUAUCAGGAUGCUAUCAGAGCAUCAAAGUAUAAAUUUUUUGUAAAAAUGAUCUCACUGAAUGUUUAAAUUGCAAUUACAAAUAAUUGAAAUUCAAAUAUCACAAUUUUCACGACAAAAAAAUAUAAAAUUUAAAAUUAAUUAGAAAAUUUCCUUAUUUUAUAUAGAUAAUAAAACAUCCGCACUUGUGUUACA